rnacentral:lncRNA from 9 species
CUCAAAUACAUAUCUCCCUCCUACAUACUCUUCCACAAAUAUUCUGCUACAUCUCAUGGGAGGAAUUGCAGCAUUUCUUCCGGAAGCCUCAAGCUGUGGCUCUCUGCAGAAGCCAAGGCAGAAAUAUCCAUUUGAGCUGUGACAGAGGGUGGGGUCAGGAGACAGAGGUUUUUACAUGAAAUUAAAGGGCAGAGCAAGGAGAAGAAUUGAAGGCAAAGAUGACUGAACUUCUGAUUAGGUUUCUUUACCUUGAAACUUCAGCUUCUACAGGUCCAUGAGGGCAGGGACUUCAUCCCUUUUGUUCACAACUGUACAUCCAGAUCUCAGAAUGGACUUUGAGGAGGAAGAAAACAUGCAGCAGAGAGGUACCUGUCCAACUAGCCAACAUAUUCAACACUGCACAAGAUGCUAUGCAUAUUGUAACCUCAGGCUGCUUAUUCCUUCACAUCAAAUUCAUGACCAGAUACACCAUUUGCAGCUGUGUCCAUUGGGAAUAUUCCCCGUCACCAGUGUCUUUAACGGCUACCCUGGAGUGAGGUUGUAGUACCUGGUACCUGUAAUACCUGAUUGAUAAUACCAGGUAAUGAAAAAUCAUUGUUGCCUCUAUGAUGAAGGGUUUACAGUAUUAUCACCUUGGAUCUGUAUCAUAUUCUGCAGGAUAUUCAGAUGAUUGGAGUCUUUUGGAAUUGUGAUAGAGAGCAGAUUAGUACAUACUGUUCAAAGUGAAAGCACAUCACUUCUGCU